rnacentral:snRNA from 1 species
AUGCUUCUACAGCACAUGUACUAAAACUGGGAUGAUAUGGAGAAGAUGCACAUGUCCUCCAUGCAAGGAUAGCAUGCAAAUUCAUGAGGCAGUCUGUAUGAAA